rnacentral:rRNA from 1 species
CUGCUGCCUCCCGUAGGAGUUUGGGCCGUGUCUCAGUCCCAAUGUGGCCGUUCACCCUCUCAGGCCGGCUACUGAUCGUCGCCUUGGUGGGCUCCGUCCCGACCAAC